rnacentral:piRNA from 1 species
GGGUUUGGGGUGGAUGGAGGGUGUGGGAUGGA